rnacentral:rRNA from 1 species
AGAGUGAACGCUGGCGGUAGGCCUAACACAUGCAAGUCGAACGGCAGCACAGUGGUAGCAAUACCAUGGGUGGCGAGUGGCGGACGGGUGAGGAAUACAUCGGAAUCUACCUUUUCGUGGGGGAUAACGUAGGGAAACUUACGCUAAUACCGCAUACGCCCUUCGGGGGAAAGCCGGGGAUCGCAAGACCUGGCGCGGAUAGAUGAGCCGAUGUCGGAUUAGCUAGUUGGUGAGGUAAUGGCUCACCAAGGCGACGAUCCGUAGCUGGUCUGAGAGGAUGAUCAGCCACACUGGAACUGAGACACGGUCCAGACCUCCUACGGGAGCAGCAGGUGGGGAAUA